AUUGAACGCUGGCGGCAGGCUUAACACAUGCAAGUCGAGCGAGCGGCGGACGGGUGAGUAAUGUCUGGGAAACUGCCUGAUGGAGGGGGAUAACUACUGGAAACGGUAGCUAAUACCGCAUACCAUCAGAUUUGCCCAGAUGGGCUUGGCUAGUGGGUGGGGUAAUGGCUCACCUAGGCGACGAUCCCUAGCUGGUCUGAGAGGAUGACCGGCACCACUGGACUUGAGACACGGUCCAGACUCCUCCGGGAGGCAGCAGUGGGGAAUAUUGCACAAUGGGCGCAAGCCGGAUGCAGCCAGGCGGCGUGGGUGAAGAAGGCCUUCGGGUUGUAAAGCACUUUCAGCGAGGAGGCGUUACCCGCAGAAGAAGCACCGGCUAACUCCGUGCCAGCAGCCGCGGUAAUAC
rnacentral:rRNA from 1 species